rnacentral:rRNA from 1 species
AGCGCAACCCUUGUCUUUAGUUGCCAUCAUUAAGUUGGGCACUCUAAAGAGACUGCCGAUGACAAAUCGGAGGAAGGUGGGGAUGACGUCAAAUCAUCAUGCCCUUUAUGUCCUGGGCUACACACGUGCUACAAUGGUCGGUACAACGAGAAGCAAGUCAGCGAUGGCAAGCAAAUCUCUAAAAGCCGAUCCCAGUUCGGAUUGCAGGCUGCAACUCGCCUGCAUGAAGUCGGAGUUGCUAGUAAUCGCGGAUCAGAAUGCCGCGGUGAAUGCGUUCCCGGGUCUU